rnacentral:rRNA from 1 species
GGUGAGUAAUACGUAAGCAACCUGCCCCUAAGUGGGGAAUAAUUUACCGAAAGGUGGACUAAUACCGCAUGUGGUCCCCGCAGGUAAAGUUCCGCUUGGGGAGGGGCUUGCGUCCUAUCAGGUAGUUGGUGGGGUAACGGCCUACCAAGCCAACGACGGGUAGCUGGUCUGAGAGGACGGCCAGCCACACUGGGACUGAGACACGGCCCAGACUCCUACGGGAGGCAGCAGCGAGGAAUCUUGUGCAAUGGGCGAAAGCCUGACACAGCGACGCCACGUGGGGGAAGAAGGCCUUCGGGUUGUAAACCCCUUUUCUUAGGGAAGAAUGACGGUACCUGAGGAAUAAGCCUCGGCUAACUACGUGCCAGCAGCCGCGGUAAUACGUAGGAGGCAAGCGUUAUCCGGAUUUACUGGGCGUACAGAGAGCGUAGGCGGUCCUUCAAGUCGGAUGUGAAAUCUCCUGGCUUAACUGGGAGGGGUCAUCCGAUAC